rnacentral:rRNA from 1 species
GUGUCAGCAGCCGCGGUAAGACGAACCGAGCGAACGUUGUUCGGAAUCACUGGGCUUAAAGGGCGCGUAGGCGGGCUGUCAAGUCUGGGGUGAAAUCCCGCGGCUCAACCGUGGAACUGCCUCAGAUACUGACGGUCUCGAGGGAGGUAGGGGCGAGCGGAACUGAUGGUGGAGCGGUGAAAUGCGUUGAUAUCAUCAGGAACUCCGGUGGCGAAGGCGGCUCGCUGGACCUCUUCUGACGCUGAGGCGCGAAAGCCAGGGGAGCAAACGGGAUUAGAAACCCGCGUAGUCC